UGAACUUGNUCCCGGGGUUUUCUCUCUGAUGAUGUGUUGUUGCAUAGUAAUCCUGCUCAGUACGAGAGGAACCGCAGGUUCAGACAUUUGGUGUAUGUGCUUGGCUAA
rnacentral:rRNA from 1 species